rnacentral:rRNA from 1 species
UACGUAGGUGACCAGCGUUGUCCGGAUUUACUGGGCGUAAAGAGCUCGUAGGCGGUCCGUCGCGUCGAAUGUGAAAACCCGGGGCUCAACCCCGGGCUUGCAUUCGAUACGGGCGGACUAGAGUUCGGUAGGGGAGACUGGAAUUCCUGGUGUAGCGGUGAAAUGCGCAGAUAUCAGGAGGAACACCGGUGGCGAAGGCGGGUCUCUGGGCCGAUACUGACGCUGAGGAGCGAAAGCGUGGGGAGCGAACAGG